rnacentral:lncRNA from 1 species
CUGAGCAGCUCCCUGUUCCGAGGACCCCUAGGUUUCAUAGAGUUCCUCGCCCUCUCUCUUGGCUCAAGUUAAGCUUCCAAGUUCCGUCUCGAAGCAUCAGGGCAGAGAGACAGGACUGGGAAAGCCAUCCCAGCGCUGAGCCCCGCGCGGGCGGCUGUCCGGGUUUGUCUGCCGCUCCGAGAUAGAAAAAGACAGAGGCGCGCCGCGUGCACAGACAGUUAGUUAAUGGAAACCCUGUAAAUCGGUUUUAAGUGCACCCAGGACAGAGGGGGAGGAAAGUGUAGGUGGUGAUGAUGGGGGAUCGGGCUAGGAUGGGGUGGGGUCGGUCACGCAUUCUUGCAGUUCUGAAAAUGAGAGUCGCUUCCCUCCUUCCCAUUGUUCUUAAUUUAGAAAUAUCAAUUCGUUAAGAGAAAAUCGCACGGACAGGGAAACCCGAGCUGCCCAGCCCGUCCCACGCGGGAGGUGCGCGGCUUCCCUUGGCAGUGACCCCGGCUGCGGCGGUCGUCUUCCCUGCCCCCUCCCACAGCCCCUCCCCCUCCUCCUCCGCGGCGGGGCACUCCACUACGGCGAUCGCCACCUCACGCCGAAGGAAUGCUCGAAGUAUGCACACGUUCCCAAAAGUAGACCUCCUUCACCGCCGGAGGAACAUACAUCACCCCGUGGCAGCCGUCCACCUUCUCAGGCGUUUCGUAACCGAGUAAACUGAGAGCUGGGAACUGCCCUCUAUUAAGUAGCCCGCGGCGCGGAGCCUCUUCCCACUCGACCAGGGCGAGCCGCCCCAGACGCGUCCGCGCGCCGCAGCCGCGGCCCCCGCCGUGCCGUCCCCUCCCGACCUGCAGCGCCCGCCGCUGCGCCCGGGGUCCUCCCCGCCUCCGCCCCCGCGGCCCGCCGCUGCGCACUCCCGGCUGCCGCCAGGUGCUCCCGGAGGCAGCGCCCAGAGGCCGGGCGUGCGGGGUCACACCGAGCGCCGGCUUCUGCGACCCCUGGAAGCCGCUGCCGCCGCCGCUUCUCGGUCACAGCCGCUCAGAUCCCUUCAUGCGGCGGUGAGCUCAGAGGCCGAGCAUGCGGAUCCGGCUUCCCCCCGCGCUCGCCGCCCUGGGCGCGGCCCUGCUGCUGUCUUCCAUCGAGGCAGAAGGUAAAAAUGCUCUUCCUUCCCCCUCCCCCAGUAACAAUGCAGAGUUGCAGAAAGGAAAAGACAACUCAAUCUGGCCCCUGUUGCUUGCUCUGUUUUUCUCGCACUUCGUGUUUUCUCAGGGGUUUCUCUCCUCCAGAGAAACGCCCCCUUCUCCUGAGGUUUGUCCGUUUCCCAGCUCUUAGGUCCAGCUCUCUCGUAUUCUGCUUAAUCCGUUCCGUACAGUGCUGUGUGGUUUCCUUGCGCUUUUCUCUGCGGUGUGCUGUCCACACUGACACCUACACUGUCGCCUUCCGAGAGGACCAGCCGCCCGGGAGGGGGCGACAGCUGCGCCCAGCUCUACGCGCAGGACCCUUCGGGGGGUACCCAGGAGCCCGGAGCGCGGGCGCUCGCUUGCCUGGCGGGUGA